CCUGGGCACGGUGGCGCGUGCCUGUAGUCCCAGUUACUCGGGAGGCUGAGGUGGGAGGAUCGCUUGAGCCCAGGAGUUCUGGGCUGUAGUGCGCUAUGCCGAUCGGGUGUCCGCACUAAGUUCAGCAUCAAUAUGGUAACCUCCCGGGAGCGGGGGACCACUAGAUUGCCUAAGGAGGGGUGAACCGGCUCAGGUCGGAAACGGAACAGGUCAAAACUCCAGUGCUGAUCAUUAGUGGGAUUGCGUCUGUGAAUAGCCACUGCACUCCAGCCUGGGCAACAUAGCAAGACCCCGUCUCU
rnacentral:SRP_RNA from 1 species